rnacentral:rRNA from 1 species
UACGUAGGCAGCGAGCGUUGUUCGGAGUUACUGGGCGUAAAGGGUGUGUAGGCGGUUUUCUAAGUCUGGUGUGAAAUCUCCCGGCUCAACUGGGAGGGUGCGCCGAAAACUGGAAGGCUAGAGUACUGGAUGGGUAAGUGGAAUUCCUGGUGUAGCGGUGAAAUGCGUAGAUAUCAGGAGGAAUACCGGUGGCGAAGGCGGCAUCCUGGACCGACAUUGACGCUGAGGAGCGAAAGCUAGGGGAGCAAACGGG